AGCAACGAAAAAGACAUUAACAUGUGCUGUUCAAGGCAGAAUUAAUAGGUUCACCUGGAUCCCAUCCAACAUCAAUAUAAAUUAGUACAUGUUGCAAUAAAUUGUAUACAAAAUAAAGUAGUUGAAGUUGAGUCACUUUACAAAAGUAAAGCCAGCAAUUACAAUUAGUACGUAUACACUGCAAUCCAUGAAUACUGCCUCAAUUGCCUUCUGCAUCACCAAACCUACUUCCAAAGCCUUGCCUGCUUGCUCAGCCCAGUCGUAUUUGCUUGUUGAAGGUAUAUUAUGUUCUCCUCCAACAGCCCUUUCAAAACCUCUCUGAUUAUUGAAUAAAAGCCGUGCAAGCACAAGUGUCAGACUUGUCAGCAAAACAAGAUAAAGAGGCCUAUAACUUAUGAUGCUCCUUAUUAUGUUGCUGCCUAGCAGUGGGAAUCCCAAAUUCGAUAAGACAACAAAAAGGGCUAUAGCUACAGAAGAAAAAAGGCGGGAGCUCUCAGAUGCAGAAAUGGCAGAGCUUAUUUGUCUCGGAGUCACAAAACUAUUUGGGCCUGUUAGGUGUUGCACCGUGCUUGAUGUAGGCAAAGUUGACUUCUGAUCUGUUGAUGAGACUAUAGAUGAUUGUCCAUUGCUGCCUCCAUAAGCAGGAGCUACUGAGGUUUCAGUAAUCGCAGCAUGUGUGCUCAAGGGAGGUUCUAUAUGGCUUCCAAUGUGGCCAGCAUCAAUAGUGGAAUCAUUAUUUGGUGACAUAGGAACAAAUCCCGCAUUGUCACCACUACGAGAAGCUGUACAUGAUCAGAACCCAUGAGCAAGAAGUAACAUUAAAAUUUUAGUUGCCAUCAGAUGCAUCAUGAGAAUGUGUAAGUUAAUUUAAAAAAAAAAAUAGAGAUCAGGAAACCCUCUCUGUCUCGCUCUCUCAAUUUACACCUAAUGCAUCUUAAUUAUCCCCAUUACAGCCCACCCCAAAGGACAACUCCCCAAUCCCCAAAACAAAUAUAUAGGUACAAUUUUAAUGAAACCAGUUUUCAAUGACCGGAAUAACCAUAAGCAUACUAAGUUAGCCACUCACCAUUCCAAAAUCCACAGUAAUUUAACUCCAAACAUACCCUAGGAGAUAGAGAGGGAUGCUCUGUAACAAAUACAGUACAAAACCACAAUCAUUGAAGAACAUGUAAAUCAGGCAAAGCAAGACUUUCAACUUCCAAAAGCAGACAAUUCAACCUAUUGAUUUUAUUUUCUUGAACAGUACUUUUGUAAAUCUCAUCUGUGACUACCAUGGAUCGAGCUAAAUUGAAUGGCGAUCAUUUUUCCUCUACUGGCUUAUCAGAAAAAAGUUCCUGUAAUGGGGUGUGUUUCUGUAAACCGGCAAAAACCCUUCAGAAAAUAUGCAAUCCUGACCAAGAACUUUGGCUGUGAAGUGAGCUCCAGGCGACACAAGGGAUUAUAAACUUUGCAAUUUGUGCAUCAAUAUCACAAAUAUAGAUGCACAUCCAUAAUAGCUAUCACACAUCAAAAUCUGAUAACCAAAACACAACGCACAGCUCAGGUAAGUUUCCCCAAAAUGCACAAAAGAAUGGACAUUUUCAAUCUUGAAGAGUAUCAACAACCACCUCAAUCACCGUUAAGCAAUUACGCAAAACACAAAAUUGACAAUAACAGAU
rnacentral:misc_RNA from 1 species